rnacentral:miRNA from 1 species
CGAAACUUGCGUGGAACAGG